UACGUGGGGUGCAAGCGUUAUCCGGAUUUACUGGGCGUAAAGGGUCCGUCGGCGUCUGAAAAGGUCUUUUGUUUAAGCCUGGGGCUCAACUCCAGAACAGCAAAAGAAACCAUUCGGAUUGAGUCUGUUUGGGGUAGCCGGAAUUCUCGGUGGAGGGGUGAAAUCCGUAGAUAUCGAGAGGAACGCCAAUCGCGAAGGCAAGCUACUAAAACACGACUGACGCUCAGGGACGAAAGCUAGGGUAGCAAAGCGG
rnacentral:misc_RNA from 1 species